rnacentral:rRNA from 1 species
CCUACGGGAGGCAGCAGUGAGGAAUAUUGGUCAAUGGCCGGAAGGCUGAACCAGCCAAGUCGCGUGAGGGACGACUGCCCUAUGGGUUGUAAACCUCUUUUAUAAGGGAAGAAUAAAUGCUACGUGUAGCAUGAUGCCUGUACCUUAUGAAUAAGCAUCGGCUAACUCCGUGCCAGCAGCCGCGGUAAUACGGAGGAUGCGAGCGUUGUCCGGAAUCAUUGGGCGUAAAGAGUUCGUAGGUGGCACGUUAAGUCUGGUGUUAAAGGCGGAAGCUCAACUUCCGUAGGGCACUGGAUACUGGCGAGCUUGAAUGCGGUAGAGGUAAAGGGAAUUCCUGGUGUAGCGGUGAAAUGCGUAGAUAUCAGGAGGAACAUCGGUGGCGUAAGCGCUUUACUGGGCCGUAAUUGACACUGAGGAACGAAAGCCGGGGUAGCAAAUGGGAUUAGAUACCCGAGUAGUC